AUGAACGCUAGUAAUAUGCUUUACACAUGCAAGUCGAGUACUUUCUUUUUUUAGUUAGUGCGGCGUACGGGUGAGUAAUAGAUAGGAAUAUGCUUAGUAGACGGUUAAAAAUAACCGAUAACCAGUUACAGGUCGCGCGGCUUAUUGCCGCGCGUCCGUCAUAACGUAAAGAUUUAUUAAAUCGCUACUAAAUUGGCCUGUUGAGGAUUAGAUAGUUGGUAAGGUCAAAGCUUACCAAGUCGAUGAUCUUUAGUCGGUUUGAGAGAAUGAACGGCCACACCGGAACUGAGACAAGGACCGGCGUCCCUUAGGGCGCAGCAGUGGGGAAUAUUGGACAAUGGAGGAAACUCUGAUCCAGCAAUAUUACGUGAGUGAUUAAGACUUUAGUAACCAUGUUGUAAAACUCUUUCGUCGAGGUAGAUUAUGACUUGACUCGAAAAAGAAGCCCCGGCUUAUUCCCGU
rnacentral:rRNA from 1 species